CCUAAGCCGUGGUCACCCUAGCCUAUGAAGCUGGAAGCUAUAUUCCUUCCAAUCCCAAUUUACCAUUCCUGUAAACAGGCCCAUUCAGGGCUGCCUGAGCAAAUGGGGACUUGCCGAGGCAGCUGCAACUAGACUUGGGCUAAGCCGUCUGGGUCUACUCAAGAAUUCGAGUCUGAAGAUGACCAAGCUUGAGUUAUUCAACUGAGAGUGAGGUGUCAAGGCGGAAGCGACUGUCCCCAGGGAAGGGCUGUGAGAUGGAUGGGCGUGAGUCAGCUUUUCCAAAACUCAAGUACCUGGGACAGGACAACUCGCUAGCAGCUCAGUCACCUCCGUGGCGGACACAGAUAAGGAUGUUAAGACCAGAAAACCAGAGACUAGGGCCCCGUCCUCAGCCCUCACAGCAUGACACAGAUGCCUCCCUCGGAGAGCAGGGUCUCUCGGCAUCCAGCGGCGUGGUCUGCAUUCUGCUCUACCUCAUGCUCUAGGCCCCAUGCCAUCGUCUCGGCCCUAGACCGUGAAAACUGCCAGUCACCCGGGACCUGCUCCUAGGGGCUGGCCUGCACAGCCGGAUGGCCUGUGGGCGGGGUGGAAGUGCCCACUCCCACUCCAGAUGGGCCUGCUGGCCACUGACCCACCUGUGCUGAGGGAGAGCGCCAGCCUCCAGCUUAGGUACACGGCGCCCACCCCCAGCUCCACGGGAAACCCAUAACCACCAGAAACAUCUCAAUCAAGAGACGGGUGUGUGGGGUGGCACUAACUGCACAGAGACCACUCCACGCCGGCUGAGGUAGAAAGAAGGCAACUGAACACACAGCAGCUAGGGCAGGGGCAGGGAGGGGCUGCAGGUGGUGUGAAGAAGAGCCCAGCUGUCAUCUAAGGCAAACUGCCCCCACUGAGGACAAGCGUAAGGCCCUACCUCCCCCAACCUGUGCGCAUCUCAAUCACAGCAGACACUGUGACGGCCACAGGGGACCCAGAUGGUGCCUACCACCUUGCCUCCAGGCUCCACUCACCAGACCUCAGGCUGAGGGUCUGGCAGUGGAGGUAGGGGCAGGGACCCUUGGUGCUUUCAGACCCCACGGCAGGUAAAAUCAGGACUGCCUGAGAACCCGUCACCCUCUGCCUCUCAGGUCACCCCCCAGCUCCAGGAACCUGCCUCCUGCUGUCCAUUGCCAGGUCUUCCUUGCACCCUGACACCUGUGCUGAGGCGCUCUGGCAGCUGGAGGAGGCUGAUUGCACUCCACAAACAGGACUGUCUGGACCAAGGGAAACUGGCAGGAGGGAGGUGGGAAAGGAAGAGGGCAAACGUUUGGCUUUUAUAAAGUCAAGGACGUUUAUUUCCUGAGGUCAUGACACAGGAAGUGGAAUCCUAGCCACGGCUGCGGAGCUCUCGUGAUGAAGGCCAGAGUGCUGACUGACAUGCCGGGUGGACCAGGAGCUGGAGUCUGUUAUCUUAGCACGAAUGCUCAUGACCUUGGUUUAGUGUUAAACAGUGGAGCAGGUCCUGAGCGGGCACGGCCAGGCCUGGAGGA
rnacentral:lncRNA from 1 species